rnacentral:rRNA from 1 species
AUUGAACGCUGGCGGCAUGCCUUACACAUGCAAGUCGAACGGUAACGCGGGGCAGCCUGGCGACGAGUGGCGAACGGGUGAGUAAUGUAUCGGAACGUGCCCAGUCGUGGGGGAUAACGUAGUGAAAAUUACGCUAAUACCGCAUACGAUCUAUGGAUGAAAGCGGGGGAUCGCAAGACCUCGCGCGAUUGGAGCGGCCGAUAUCAGAUUAGGUAGUUGGUGGGGUAAAGGCCCACCAAGCCAACGAUCUGUAGCUGGUCUGAGAGGACGACCAGCCACACUGGAACUGAGACACGGUCCAGACUCCUACGGGAGGCAGCAGUGGGGAAUUUUGGACAAUGGGCGAAAGCCUGAUCCAGCCAUUCCGCGUGCAGGAUGAAGGCCCUCGGGUUGUAAACUGCUUUUGUACAGAACGAAAAGGUUUCUACUAAUACUAGGAGCUCAUGACGGUACUGUAAGAAUAAGCACCGGCUAACUACGUGCCAGCCGCCGCAGUAAAAC